rnacentral:lncRNA from 1 species
CCAAGUUCGAUUUCCACCAAAUCAAAUUAUCUCAUCUCAUCGAAAGAUCGGGUCCCUUUGCCCUAUCAAGUGGUAUCAGAUUUCAGGUUGCUCGGUGAGAUUUUCGGUUCUACUAUGAUAGUUUGCAUCAGUUUUUCAUACCUAGAGUCCACAUUAAAAAGAAAAGCCACACACAAAAAAUUAGGGUUAGAUCACCCCGUCCCAUAAACUUGUUGAGCCAUCGCUUUUCUCUUUUCGAGUCUGCUUUGUUGACGUUACUUCUGCAUCGACUGGUCGAGUGCUGGUCUUAGGUUUAGUUCUUUUAGAGUUUCGAGUUCUGUUCACGUUCAUCACGCCGCUGUUGCCGCACCAUAUUGUUUUCGCAGCUCACCACCUUCCCACCAUACAUACUUCCGUCACCACCGCAUCAUCAUCGUGCCUCGGCACACCUCGAUCUCGUAGUUUUUAUCUUUCUUUCUUGUUCUCUAAGUUUUACCCCCUUUAUCUUCGUGCUAUAAUCUGGGCUGUAGUUGUUGUCCACAAGGAAAGUCCCCGCAAGGAAAGAACAAAAAAUCUGGGCUCUAAUUGUUGCCCGCAAGGAAAGUUUUGUCUGCAAAAAAAAAGAAAAAAGAAAAAUAAAUCGUGGUUAUACUUUUUUUUCACCUCGGGGUUCAGUUUGAGACACUCAUCUCCAUAGUGAGUUUUGGCACGUCCGUUCAUGACUCCUAGCAUCACCCUUUCGCUGUUUAUUGCUUUUAGUGCCGCACCGUGACACUGGUGUUCUAGGCUCGCGUCUCUUGUAUAGUCUAGCCUAGGACCAGCACGGUACCGUCGUUGAGCGUUCCUUCAACUUGCAUUCUUGAAUUGAGUUUUGCUAAUCCUUUCUAACAUAUUUUUGGCCUUCCUAUAGCUCCACAGAUUUCUACACCGUGUCGUGUGACGUUCCCAGGCAAUCGCUUUCUCCAAUCCUCAGAGUGACUGAUCUUUGUAAGUCGCCGCUCACGCCCUCCUGUUUGGUAAGAACUUGUAAGAGCUUUGUAUUUUGCUUGACAGAUUGCGCGAUUGUGCCCACACAUUCCAGUAGUCGUAGGCAUAUUUUUAUCUCUGCCAAGUACUAACCAUGACAGGAACAGCAACGGCCACGGAGAACGCCAACCCAGACACGAUGACUACCUCAGCACUUCAUGCUCACUUUACAAAAUUAGUUGUUGAUCAUGCGCAGGAUGUCGACACACGCUUCAUCAACACCAGGGAGAGGAUAGAUGGCCUCGAGGCAGCCUUACAAACUAAAAUUGAUGUCAAAUUUCAGG